CUAUAACUCCUCAGAUCUUCUUCUGAACUCCACUGCCUGGUUUGCUAACAACAUCGGAUUCUUCAUCACUUUCAUUAACCUCGCUGACCUGCAGUCAUUCCUACCAGGAAACAUGACGAGUGUGUUCCUGCAGAACGCAGAAAAUCUUCAGCUGUUCAACAACCCAGGAAUUUCAGCCAGUGUCCUGGAGUACUACACAACAGAGUUAUACAUCCAGAAUCCUGACUUCAGCCCACUCGGAUUGCCAGCUGAGCUGCUGUGUCGAACUCCUUCCUCC